rnacentral:rRNA from 1 species
GAUGAACGCUGGCGGCGUGCCUAACACAUGCAAGUCGAGCGGCAGCGAGGGGUGCUUGCACCCUGUCGGCGAGCGGCGGACGGCUGAGUAACGCGUGGGAACGUGCCCCAAAGUGAGGAAUAACUGCCCGAAAGGGUAGCUAAUACCGCAUAUUAUCUUCGGAUCAAAGGAUUUAUCCGCUUUGGGAGCGGCUCGCGUCGGAUUAGGUAGUUGGUGAGGUAAUGGCUCACCAAGCCGACGAUCCGUAGCUGGUCUGAGAGGAUGACCAGCCAGACUGGAACUGAGACACGGUCCAGACUCCUACGGGAGGCAGCAGUGAGGAAUCUUCCACAAUGGGCGAAAGCCUAAUGGAGCAACGCCGCGUGCAGGACGAAGGCCUUCGGGUUGUAAACUGCUUUUAUAAGUGAGGAAUAUGACGGUAACUUAUGAAUAAGGAUCGGCUAACUACGUG